GAAACACAGACAACAAUUUUAACAAAAUCAAAACCAUAUCAUAGUUUGAUGUGACUUUAUGUUGUACUUUAAUUUCCACUGUGAUACUGUUCAACUUUUAUGAUUAUAUAUUUAGACAAUAGACAUAUCCCAAGACACAAGAAUUCUAACAAUGCGGUCAUCCUUAAUAAAAUUUCAUCAUUUUCUGAUGGUGGCCAAAAGUGUAGGUUCCAUAUCCAGUAAGAAUAUCCACUGAAAGAUUUGCAUCAGUUGUCACAACUCACAACAUGUAAAGAAAGGGAGAACUGAAAAAAAAAUCCUUGGAAAUUAAUGCUGAUAACCUCCAUGGACACAUUUACAGGACAGCCUUUUUUUUAACUUUUAUAUUUUUCCACUUUUUCUAAAUUCCAGAUAAUUUUUAGUGCUUCAUCCAAUCCAAAAGGCAAAUUAUGCCAUGAGAGGAUAGAGAGGAUAUAUUCAGAUUGACAGAUUCACAUCAUCUGCCCGACUGCCAGUAUGACCUAUAUAUACUGUAUAUGCUGCUAAAAGAGUUAAAAGUUUUUCACAAGGUAGAAAGUUACACAAUGCAUACAUUGUCUGCUCAGUUCAUCAACUAUUCUUUGUCGGUCUACUCACAUAUAUCAAACUAUAUAUGUUCCCAUUUUCAUUUACAAAAUGAGGAGUUUACAUCAAAAUCAUUCACCGAGUAAGCUUAAGCAACUAAUUUUGCUUAAUGUAAAUGCUGAACUUCAUAGAACACUUCCGGUGUAGGAAUAUUCUACUUACAUGCCAUGCACGUUAGAUGGG
rnacentral:misc_RNA from 1 species